AUAAGAAUCCGCACUAUCCCUUGAAUAUUUGUUUUGUCAAGGAAUGGUUCUUGACUGGGGAAACUUAUAUGUCAAGGGGACAGUGGGAGCCUUAAAGAUCCUGAAAGAGUUUCAAGAUUUAAUCAAGAGUAAAACCUGUAAUUUAUCACUAGCACACGACUUAAGGUUUGCAACCUAUCGUGUUGACAUAAUUCUUAUUUCUGUACCUACUUCAAAUAAGUUGAAUUUGCAUGUGAGUUAUCAGAGUUCAACUUGGAAGCAUUGGUGGGCCUUGUGCUACCAAGGUGACAAGAAACUAAGAUUGAACAAGUUUAAUCCAUGUAAGGCUGAAUUUGUCACUAACCUUAUCUUGUGAUUAUGGUUUUGACAAAUUCACAUGGAUAGGAACUCAUACACUAUAAAAUCUAAGUGUCAUAAGGUUUCUCUCCGAUUCAUGAAAAUGAUGGUGAGGAAACGCUUUCACUAAGUAGAUUUUACGUAGAUAUCAAUUGUGUUAUUUGCAUUUUCAAAAGUCGUUAGUGGAGCGCGUGUGGUUAACCGGCACACUAACAUGGACUUGUGAGAAAUGGCAAAUGCCUAAGCAAUUGAGACUAUGAUUACGGCAUCCCUUUUCAUAGUUCUGAAAAUUGUUUAGACACACAUGUGAGCUAUCUAAGAAAGGGUGUAUGAAUCUAAAUUUCAGAAGUCCAGCAGAUUUCUGGAAAUAUGUCAGAGCUAGUGGGAGCAUAAGUGUUAUGCUGAUAAUCAUCAUGUUAGUGGGAGCAUGAUUAUUACGUUUAGUGUUGCAAGUUAGCAAUGUUAAUUAUAGAAAACAAAGUUUCAAUUCGUGAAGUUGCAGGGGUUGAAAAGUUGUUUUGCUAUAAUUAAGGGAGAGGAAAUUAUACUUCAUUUCAAUUCUAAAGCUUAGAUUGAGAUUUUAAUCAUCUUUAGUCAAGAAUAUAUAUAUGAAUUUUAUGUUGGAAUGGUUCAACUUGAAGAAAUUCUAUAUAUAUUGCGUUUUCAAAAUUCGAUUAUGAUUACGGCAUCCCUCUUCAUAGUUAAAUUUUGAAAACAUGGCAAAUAAAAAAUAUUGUAGCAAAAGACUGGUCUAGUAUCAUGUCUUUAUGUCAAACAUCAUGAAUCGUGUCCCAUAUGCUUCGGAUAUAGGAUCGAUUGCAUGUGCUAUAAUAUUCAUCUUUUCUAAAUUUUCCAAAUGCUUAAGGCAUUGAGAAGGGAAAAGUCUAGAACUGGAUAUGACUAAAGUGAUUAAGCAAUUGUCGAGGACAAUCUGAGGUUCGCCAAAGAUUGGUUGCUCAGGGAAAGUUGGAAGUAUGAUGUAAGUUGUCGGAAAGGACCAUAUUGACAUAUUCUGAAAAGAAGUAACUCUUGUUCGGAAGUGAUAGUCAAAAUGGGACUAUGGAAAUGUCUCCAUAGGUGGAAGUUAUUCAAUCUAUGUAAGAUUAGAAAACCUUAAUGCAAGAAGGAUGUUCAAAGCAAUGUACUUUGAAUAUGAGACUUCCGUUCCAUAGAAGUUGACCUUCUUUGGAAUACUCUGUAAUGACUGGUGACAAGGUUUUGGUGACUUUGUGCAUAAUCAUUACAAGAGGAACAUUGCAUAAAAGUUUAAAAUCUAACAGAUUUUUUGGUAAAUGAUAGGAAUCGGGGAUUCUCACAUUUACAAUAAGGAUUUGGGAUUGUGAAAUGAGUAUCAUUGGAAUCAUGUUCAAUUGAUCUACAUCACAAUGUAAGGAUCAUAGACAAACAUAGUGUGCAUACUUGGAGUAUGGCAUAACUAUUGUUUAGAAAAACAAAGUGUACAUGCUAGGAGCAUGGGACGACUGUUGUUUUUAUUCAAGUCUUAAGUUGAUUGUUUGAAACAUUAUACAAUGAAUAAUGUGUAAUCAAUAUGGUGAUAAAUAAAAGGUGGUUCUAUUUAUAUUCAAAAGGGUUCUGAGACCAUAUUGGAUUCGAUUAUUAUUGUGUUUCACUUUGCAUGUUUUGACUUCCAAAAUAGCUAGGUUAUUCUUUCCGAAUGACUAAGUUAUUUAAACACUCCACAGUCGUUCAUAUGUUGGAAGUAGGUAUGAAUCAAGACUGUCAUGAAUCGAGUUUGUAGAUGGCUAAAUGGGUUUAGUCAUAGCAAUGGUUGCUACAACAUUCAUGAGUGCUCAUAAGUUAUGAGUAUUGGAAUAAACCCACGCUCACUUGUAUCACUUCAUGGAAUUUAUCUCGAGUGAUCGUGAGACGGUAAUAUCAUAUAAAUCUUCAAACCUAGAGAUAUGAGUUGUUACCUAUGAGUUGGUUGUGCAUUGAUUGCACGUAAACGCAUCAGUAACUUGAUGUUAUAAAACGUGCCUUUGUGUACAAUUCAACAAGUAGUAGAACAAGCAUAUGAGUCGAAGUUUAUCUGUUCCUUCUAGAAAUAGAAGCGAUAUCUGGGCCCCUCGAUGAUUUUGUUGUGACCUAUGUACCGGCCGGUCAGAACUAAAUUGAUGUGUUCGAUUAAGUUCUUUGUCAAACAAAUCGAAAAUCGGGAAACAAACUGCUGGACAAUAAGUACGACGUUGUUCCAUGUAUUUGUCCGGCUGAUAUCAUGAGAACAGAGGAUUAUAUGAUCACUUAUCUAAAAUGGCGCUUCAUAGUUCAACAGAGUUUUCGAGAGCUACGAUUGCUGGUUGGUUCCUGAAGUAACAUACGCAAAUAUAGUUAUUAGACUUAUCCAAGUGGGAGUCUGUUGGAUAAGGUGUCUAAGUCCAUAACUUAUUUGGUAUAUACUUGACCCGACCCGGCAUGGUCCAUUUGGGUUGCAUCUCACCCGAACUAUUUAUGGAUAAUUUUAUGAGAGUUAUACACAUAUGUUUAUUAAUAUAUUAUAAGUUAUAAUAUAUUAAUAUGAAGUUAUGUUAUUUAAUUAGUCUUAGUCUUAAAUUAAUUAUGAAUUAAUUUAGAGAUUAAAAGGAAGACUAAUUAGAUUAUGGGCUAUUGGUUUUAUAUGGUGUGGGCUAACACUCAUUUGUUAAUGGGCUAGGCUUAUAUGGAAGUCCAUGGAUGAUCCAUGGAGCUUUUAACCCAUGGAUCCUUGGAAAAGGAAAGGUCAUGGGUUAUUAGGGUUUCACCCUAACCAUGCACACUAUAUAAGCAUGCUUAUGGAGCAUGAAAUGGCAACUAGUGAACUAGUGUGUGUGUGCUUGUGUGUGGCCAAAAAUACAAGUGUGUAUACUCUCUCAAAGUUUUCCAAGAGUUUGUGGUGUUUUGUGAUUCCAUUUGAGGCAUUCACACUAUUGGUGCUUGGCCCUCAAACUCCUUAAGAACCAAACUCAUCAAAAAGGUAUGUAAUCUCUUCUAACUCUUUUAUGUUGAAAUGUUCCCCAUGCCAUGUUAGAUAGGUUAUGAACCUUGGAAAAUUAUUAUUUUGCAUGUAUUUAGACAAACAUAGAUCCAAGGUUUAUUAGGGUUGCAUGCACACUUAGGAAGUGUUAGAUUGCUCAAAACCCAACAGUGGUAUCAGAGCCUAGGCUUGCUUGUUUGAUACUUGAUGCAAAAUAGUGAAAAAAGUUGAAAUUGUUGCUGUCUGGCUGAUGGACUCGCCGAGUCCAUGGGGGGACUCGCCGAGUUCAAGGCAAAAUUCAUCCUACUCGGCGAGUAGGUUCGUGCACUCGGCGAGUAGAAUGAUCAGAAUGCAGAAUUUCGACUUUUGCUGCUGGAAAUGGACUAGAAACAUUACCCUAAACUGUUUUGGUGUUUUAAAACUUGUUUUAGUUGGUGUAAUGGUUGUUCUAAUCCAUUUACAAUAGCAUAUAUCAAAAUUCCAUGAUUUUUAUGUGUUCAUAUAAUUCUUGAAAUUUUGAUGAUCAUGUUCAUGUUCUUAUGAAUUUAGAAGAUGAUAGGAAUUAUUUGCUGAAUUGUUUAGAAUUAAUUCUUGAUCAUUUAUGUGUUUUAAUGGAGUCCAUAAUUUGUCCUCAAGUUAUGGAUAUCCAAAGGUCACUUUUCUUUAACACACACAUUUAAACACAUAAGUUACAUGAAAAUGAAGAGUCUUCAUUUUUAUGAACCUUUAAUUCAUAAGUUAUGAAAUGAAAAGUUUUGGAUAGUUACAAAACUUGCCCUCAAGUUUUGGAAUUUGAAAAGUUUCACACACUUUAAUAAACUUUAAUUCCAACACUUAGAGUUUUAAAAGUUAAAAUUCAACACUUAUACUAUUUAUAACAUUAAUGGUUAAUUAUUAUAUAUAUGUAUAAGAACAAGUCGUUUUACCGUUAGUAGGCCUCAUUCACGAAGCCGGUCUAUAAGGUGGGUAUAAGGUUGUUGCCUAUAAAAUGGCGACUUAAUGGGUGUCCACUCUCACCCACCGCUUGCUUGAUCGGUGGAGGGUCGUUAGCCGAACGGGUAGGACAAUGACUUUAAAUUCUCAUUAAAAGUAUAAUGAUUAUUAUAAAGUAACUAAAAAUUUUUUAUUUAAUUCCCAAUCUUAGUUACUUUAGGAAAAAUGUGAAUUUGGUGCUAGCCCAUGGAAUUCACACUUUGUACCUUACCAAGUCGUUGGUGGAGCGUGUGUGGUUAACCGGCACACUAACUUGGACUAGUAAGGAUCACGAAGGGUGACUUAAUGUUUGUCAUAGAUCAAUGGAGCGUGUGUGGUUAACCGGCACAUUGAUUAGGUGAUAAUAUUAAGGGUACCAAGUGAAUUGGUAUGGUUAUUCACACCUUGUUUUGUGAUCCUCGGCAUCCCAGUCACAAAAUUUGAGAGGGCACACUCGAGAUUGAAACAUGCCAUUGAAAAGUUCAAUGAAUCUCAAAAGAUCUAGGAAUUUCAAAUCCAAUUAAAACCUAAUAAAUUAUUUCGUUUUUCAUGGUGGAAAUUGGUGAAUCGUCAUUCGCCUACCUUCAAAUAUUUUAUAGCUUGGAUUACGGCAUCCCUCUUCCAAAUUAUAAAAUAUUGUGUUGGGUCCUAGCCUUAAUAUUUCAUAUUGGGUGUUAUAUUAAGGACUUUGAAUCAACUAACUUGAUUUUCUCCCAUUAUAGAUGUCUGGUUCAGACAACUAUGAUCUUCCCAAAUCUCUUGAAGAUGGUGUCCCUCAACAUCAUGCUUCACUUCCUCCACCUCCUCCAAUUAUUCUCCCUCACCCACAAGUUCUUGAAAAGUUUAAAGUCACUCAAUCCCUAUUGGCAAGCAUAGUCUAUGUGUGCUCACAUCUUGGAGAUAAAGUCACAUAUUGACAAGCCGGGAGAGUUGGGUGUCAAAGUCUCGUGAAAGUUGGAUGUUCAAUCACUUUCUUAGUAACAUAGUGAGUCUCUUUGGGACUACUAUGAGACAGACUAUGACAUGACCCUUAAUGAUGUUAUCUAUUUGCUUGGUGUUGUGGAAUCAGCAAUGAUUUGGAACACCAGUAAAGCAAAUUUGAUUAAAAGAACAACUUCCCAAGUCUUAAAUGGACAUUGACAAUGGUAGCAUUGGAUAUCUAGAAAAGGAUUUCUCUUCCCAAUGGAAAGGGAUCGGCCAUAGUCAACUCGGUUGACCAAAUGGUAAAGAGAAAGGCUAAGUCUGAGAUAGUCUCAUGUGCCAUUACCAAAGGGUCCAUGUGUUUUGUUGCCAAAGGAAGGGGCAUUGGUUGCGAAGCUGCCCUAUUCACCUGAAAGGUCAUAAGGUUGAUCAAGUCAAGAGGUUUGACUCUACUUCGGGUAAAGUCCACUGUCUAACUCUAUUAAGUUCCUAUUUGGAGAUUCUUAUUACAUAAUGUGAAUGGGUCACAUGCUGAUGUUUUUAAGAAUCAAAGAAAAGAUAGGAAGCUUAAAGUAAGUAUAUGUUGAUUCUGAUUGCGAAGGUGGGUUUCGAUCGCAUGGUUCGGUAAUCAGAAUUUUGAGCUGUUGCUUAAGAGUUAUAAUAUAUUGCUUAUGAAUAGAUAACAACAAGGUUUUCAUGUGGAUUGUAAGGAUAAGUUUUUCCGCAAAGUUUUAAAAAAAAAAAAAAAAAGGGUUUUAAUUUUAUUUAUUUUAAAAAUAUCCUUACAAUGGCAUCUGUGGAAAAUUGUUGCUUAUAUGUUUCCAGUAAUAGCAAUAUUGGAAAGUGGAUUUGAUUCUUUCAUUUGUGGUAGUGUCUGAAUUUACCAAAUGAAGAAAGUUUUUCAUCACCCAAGUUUCAAUUGGACAGAAACUUGGAAUCAUACAAGUUGUAUUGUAUGAUGAAUGAGAAUUUUCAUCUUUGAAAAUUAAGACUAAUUCUUUGAUCACAUGUAUAUGUGAGUCAAUUGAAGGACUAAGGAAUUAGGUACACUGGGUGUGCGCUGGUCAAGGUCCACCACAAAGAUUGAUUUGUCAUGAUUUACUAAAGAUUAGUAAAUAUGAUUAUACUUAUGAGGUUAAGUAUAAUUCUGUAACAUUGGAAAGGUUACAAUGUAUGACAAAACAAAUGAGAAGAAUCAAAUUAGGCAGAAAGAUAAAAGUUUCUCAAAUCUGAAAGGAUGGGAGAGUACUUUAGUAUCGUAUUUCAUGAUCAUCUUAAUGAUUAUGAAACCAUAUCACAAAUUCAUACUCUAAGGACGUCUUAGUGCAUUGUUAUGGCUAAGAAGAGAGGUCAUGAAUUGUUGGAUUGGUUAAAAUCAAGAAGAUGAGUCAUACUUCGUUCCAAAACAAUUCUUAGAGUCAUACUCCAAGAUUGUAACUUUGAGUGACAUAAAGGAAGAUUUAUUAACACUAGUCAAAUGUAAGAGUAAAAUGUUUUCUACUCUUGUACAUUUGAGAUUGGUAAGUUGUGAUGUCUUGGAUGAGACAAAGACCAACUAAGACCAAUUGUGUGAAGUGUUAGUCUUGAUAAGAAUCCGCACUAUCCCUUGAAUAUUUGUUUUGUCAAGGAAUGGUUCUUGACUGGGGAAACUUAUAUGUCAAGGGGACAGUGGGAGCCUUAAAGAUCCUGAAAGAGUUUCAAGAUUUAAUCAAGAGUAAAACCUGUAAUUUAUCACUAGCACACGACUUAAGGUUUGCAACCUAUCGUGUUGACAUAAUUCUUAUUUCUGUACCUACUUCAAAUAAGUUGAAUUUGCAUGUGAGUUAUCAGAGUUCAACUUGGAAGCAUUGGUGGGCCUUGUGCUACCAAGGUGACAAGAAACUAAAAUUGAACAAGUUUAAACCAUGUAAGGCUGAAUUUGUCACUAAUCUUAUCUGGUGAUUAUGGUUUUGACAAAUUUAGAUGGAUAGGAACUCAUACACUAUAAAAUCUAAGUGUCAUAAGGUUUUUCUCCGAUUCAUGAAAAUGAUGGUGAGGAAACGCUUUCACUAAGUAGAUUUUACGUAGAUAUCAAUUGUGUUAUUUGCAUUUUCAAAAGUCGUUAGUGGAGCGCGUGUGGUUAACCGGCACACUAACAUGGACUUGUGAGAAAUGGAAAAUGACUAAGCAAUUGAGACUAUGAUUACGGCAUCCCUUUUCAUAUUCCCCAAAAUUGUUUAGACACACAUGUGAGCAAUCUAAGAAAG
rnacentral:lncRNA from 1 species